ensembl:miRNA Gm26233 predicted gene, 26233
UGUAUGUACAUGUAUAUGUGUGUGUACAUGUAUAUGUGUGUGUGUACAUGUAUAUGUGUAUACAUGCAUAGA